AGUCACUGACAUUAGAUACCCGGGUAGUCCAGGGUGUAAACGCUGCAGACUUGGUGUCGGGAACCCUUCGGGGGUGCUCAGUGCCGGAGAGAAGUUGUUAAGUCUGCUACUUGGGAGUACGUCCGCAAGGAUGAAACUUAAAGGAAUUGGCGGGGGAGCACCGCGACGGGAGGAGCGUGCGGUUUAAUUGGAUUCAACGACCGAAAAACUCACCAGCAGCGACUGUUACAUGAAAGUCAGGUUGAUGACCUUACUAGAUUUUCAG
rnacentral:rRNA from 1 species